UUUGUGCCUAGUGCAUAACUUUUUUAUGCAUGAAGGUAUUUUAAAAUAACUUGGCACUCAUAUUGAUUUAUUUUGUAUUAAAGCUUGUAGAUGGGCACACACUAUUUGACUACAGUGUUGGACUCAAUGACCUCAUCCAGUUGAUGAUCAAAGCUCCUCCUCCUGCUCAGGACACAAAAGAGACCGAAAAAGAUGGUGAUACUAGAGAAAAUGGAUCAGAUAAAGAAAAUGAGCCUGAGAAAUCAGAAGAAAAAGAGAAAAGUGAUAUAGAUCUGCAAGACAGCACAUACAAGAUUGGAGAUGUGAUAGAUGCACGAGACAUUGCUAUG